rnacentral:rRNA from 1 species
GUAAGUCGGCCCCUAAGGCGAGGCGGAAACGCGUAGUCGAUGGGAAGUCGGUCAAUAUUCCGACACCACGCAUGACUGCGAUGGGGUGACGGAGAAGGCUAGGCCAUCCGGGCGUUGGUUGUCCCGGUUCAAGCGAGUAGGCUGAUUUUUCAGGCAAAUCCGGAGAAUCUAGGCCGAGACGUGAUGACGGUGAGUCCAAGGACUCCGAAGUGGUUGAUGCCAUGCUUCCAAGAAAAGCCUCUAAGCAUCAGGUCAUGGGUGACCGUACCCCAAACCGACACAGGU